UACAGAGGUCCCAAGCGUUGUUCGGAUUCAUUGGGCGUAAAGGGUGCGUAGGUGGCGCCGUAAGUCGGGUGUGAAAUUUCGGAGCUUAACUCCGAAACUGCAUUCGAUACUGCGGUGCUUGAGGACUGGAGAGGAGACUGGAAUUCAUGGUGUAGCAGUGAAAUGCGCAGAUAUCAGGAGGAACACCCGUAGCGAAGGCGGCACUCUGGGCCGGAACUGACGCUGAGGAGCGAAAGCGUGGGGAGCGAACAGG
rnacentral:rRNA from 1 species